GCAUUUGAAGCUAACUAGGUAGAAGCGCUGGGUUGAAAUUCCAGAGGACUUGGAUCGUUACCAAGCAGAUGCACCA
rnacentral:tRNA from 6 species